GUGCUGUUGAGAUUUAGAUAGGCAUGUAUAUUGAUACAUUUACUAUUUAUUAUUAAUGUAUUAAAGAACCUGUAUGAAUCAUGAGGUUUGAGACAGUUUCACUGCCUUCAACUCUAGCAGAGUUUGUAGAGAAACCUGCUGCUAUAUUUGAAUUUUUGCCAUUAGAGGCUUACUUUAAUGAAGAUUUAGUUCUAAAUUUUGAUCUUAUCUACUGAAUUGAUACGGUGUAUGUACCUCCUUUUGGAGUAUGUGCCAUGGCUGAUGAUAGUCCAGCCGGAGUUGAAUUUGAUACGUCUUUUGAUCCUGCAUUAAGGUCUUUUGAUCCUGCAUUAAGGUUUUCAGAAGCCUUUAAGGCUUCUUUUAGUGAGAUUAAUGGUCCAUUAUCUCAUCCUGUUUGUUGAACAGUUUAAUCAUGAUUUUGAUAAAAUCAGGAAUAUAUAAAGUUCUUAGAGGAAAUACUAUCACACUGAGAACUGUGACAAUCCUAGUGUGUCUAGGAUAAUUAAAAAAUCGAAAUGGCAAUGCCUAGACAGGCCCACUCUGUGGUUUCAAAGAUGCAGGAAACCCAGAGAUACUUUAUUAAGGGGUUGAUCAUCACCCCUAUUGUUGAGUUUGCUAUUUCUUGUUGUAGGAAUGAGCCAUUGGAUCUUGAUAAUACAAGGAUUUUAUUGUAAAAUUAUAUUUGUUU
rnacentral:lncRNA from 1 species